GUGCAACUCAUGAUAACUCUUAUAGAAUUGCAUUUUCAGUUUAUCUUUUCAUGUCUCUAUAUAACAUUGCAACUUUGAAAAAAUAUUCAGAAGCAUGUCCCUGGUUACAUUCUAUCUAUAACCUAUUAGGAAGUGCUUAUCGAUUAAAUUUUUGCGCUUUAUUUUGGAUAUAUAUAUACAGAAGCAUGUCCCUGGUUGUAUA
rnacentral:misc_RNA from 1 species